rnacentral:lncRNA from 1 species
GUUGGAGGAAAUAAAACAAAGGGACUCCGAUGGUUUCUAUUUCUACGAAAUCUCCAUCGAGGGCAACAAUGAUAUAGAGCAACUGAAGAUAGAAUGAUGGCAGUAGAAACAAGGGUUGGGAUGCCAAACAAUUUGAACUGCGAGGUUUUUUUUUUCAAAUUAUAUGAUAGUUUAAGCUGGAUUUUUCUUCUUGUUAAUGUUUUAUGAUGAUAGAU